rnacentral:rRNA from 1 species
CACUAUCGUUAACUGAAUACAUAGGUUAACGAGGCGAACCGGGGGAACUGAAACAUCUAAGUACCCCGAGGAAAAGAAAUCAACCGAGAUUCCCCCAGUAGCGGCGAGCGAACGGGGAGCAGCCCAGAGUCUGAAUCAGCUUGUGUGUUAGUGGAACGGUCUGGAAAGUCCGACGGUACAGGGUGAUAGUCCCGUACACCAAAAUGCACAGGCUGUGAACUCGAAGAGUAGGGCGGGACACGUGGUAUCCUGUCUGAAUAUGGGGGGACCAUCCUCCAAGGCUAAAUACUCCUGACUGACCGAUAGUGAACCAGUACCGUGAGGGAAAGGCGAAAAGAACCCCGGCGAGGGGAGUGAAAAAGAACCUGAAACCGUGUACGUACAAGCAGUGGGAGCACCUUCGGGUGUGACUGCGUACCUUUUGUAUAAUGGGUCAGCGACUUAUAUUCUGUAGCAAGGUUAACCGUAUAGGGGAGCCGCAGGGAAACCGAGUCUUAACUGGGCGUUAAGUUGCAGGGUAUAGACCCGAAACCCGGUGAUCUAGCCAUGGGCAGGUUGAAGGUUGGGUAACACUAACUGGAGGACCGAACCGACUAAUGUUGAAAAAUUAGCGGAUGACUUGUGGCUGGGGGUGAAAGGCCAAUCAAACCGGGAGAUAGCUGGUUCUCCCCGAAAGCUAUUUAGGUAGCGCCUCGUGAAUUCAUCUUCGGGGGUAGAGCACUGUUUCGGCUAGGGGGUCAUCCCGACUUACCAACCCGAUGCAAACUACGAAUACCGAAGAAUGUUAUCACGGGAGACACACGGCGGGUGCUAACGUCCGUCGUGAAGAGGGAAACAACCCAGACCGCCAGCUAAGGUCCCAAAGUCAUGGUUAAGUGGGAAACGAUGUGGGAAGGCACAGACAGCCAGGAUGUUGGCUUAGAAGCAGCCAUCAUUUAAAGAAAGCGUAAUAGCUCACUGGUCGAGUCGGCCUGCGCGGAAGAUGUAACGGGGCUAAACCAUGCACCGAAGCUGCGGCAGCGACACUAUGUGUUGUUGGGUAGGGGAGCGUUCUGUAAGCCUGCGAAGGUGACCUGUGAGGGUUGCUGGAGGUAUCAGAAGUGCGAAUGCUGACAUAAGUAACGAUAAAGCGGGUGAAAAGCCCGCUCGCCGGAAGACCAAGGGUUCCUGUCCAACGUUAAUCGGGGCAGGGUGAGUCGACCCCUAAGGCGAGGCCGAAAGGCGUAGUCGAUGGGAAACAGGUUAAUAUUCCUGUACUUGGUGUUACUGCGAAGGGGGGACGGAGAAGGCUAUGUUAGCCGGGCGACGGUUGUCCCGGUUUAAGCAUGUAGGCUGGUUGUCCAGGCAAAUCCGGAUAAUCAAGGCUGAGGUGUGAUGACGAGGCACUACGGUGCUGAAGUAACAAAUGCCCUGCUUCCAGGAAAAGCCUCUAAGCAUCAGGUAACAUUAAAUCGUACCCCAAACCGACACAGGUGGUCAGGUAGAGAAUACCAAGGCGCUUGAGAGAACUCGGGUGAAGGAACUAGGCAAAAUGGUGCCGUAACUUCGGGAGAAGGCACGCUGGUGUGUAGGUGAAGUCCCUGCGGAUGGAGCUGAGACCAGUCGAAGAUACCAGCUGGCUGCAACUGUUUAUUAAAAACACAGCACUGUGCAAACACGAAAGUGGACGUAUACGGUGUGACGCCUGCCCGGUGCCGGAAGGUUAAUUGAUGGGGUUAUCCGUAAGGAGAAGCUCUUGAUCGAAGCCCCGGUAAACGGCGGCCGUAACUAUAACGGUCCUAAGGUAGCGAAAUUCCUUGUCGGGUAAGUUCCGACCUGCACGAAUGGCGUAAUGAUGGCCAGGCUGUCUCCACCCGAGACUCAGUGAAAUUGAACUCGCUGUGAAGAUGCAGUGUACCCGCGGCAAGACGGAAAGACCCCGUGAACCUUUACUAUAGCUUGACACUGAACAUUGAGCCUUGAUGUGUAGGAUAGGUGGGAGGCUUUGAAGCGUGGACGCCAGUCUGCGUGGAGCCAACCUUGAAAUACCACCCUUUAAUGUUUGAUGUUCUAACGUUGGCCCCUGACCGGGGUUGCGGACAGUGUCUGGUGGGUAGUUUGACUGGGGCGGUCUCCUCCCAAAGCGUAACGGAGGAGCACGAAGGUUAGCUAAUCCUGGUCGGACAUCAGGAGGUUAGUGCAAUGGCAUAAGCUAGCUUGACUGCGAGCGUGACGGCGCGAGCAGGUGCGAAAGCAGGUCAUAGUGAUCCGGUGGUUCUGAAUGGAAGGGCCAUCGCUCAACGGAUAAAAGGUACUCCGGGGAUAACAGGCUGAUACCGCCCAAGAGUUCAUAUCGACGGCGGUGUUUGGCACCUCGAUGUCGGCUCAUCACAUCCUGGGGCUGAAGUAGGUCCCAAGGGUAUGGCUGUUCGCCAUUUAAAGUGGUACGCGAGCUGGGUUUAGAACGUCGUGAGACAGUUCGGUCCCUAUCUGCCGUGGGCGCUGGAGAAUUGAGGGGGGCUGCUCCUAGUACGAGAGGACCGGAGUGGACGCAUCACUGGUGUUCGGGUUGUCAUGCCAAUGGCACUGCCCGGUAGCUAAAUGCGGAAGAGAUAAGUGCUGAAAGCAUCUAAGCACGAAACUUGCCCCGAGAUGAGUUCUCCCUGAGACUUUAAGUCUCCUGAAGGAACGUUGAAGACGACGACGUUGAUAGGCCGGGUGUGUAAGCGCAGCGAUGCGUUGAGCUAACCGGUACUAAUGAACCGUGAGGCUUAACCUU